rnacentral:lncRNA from 1 species
GUGGUGACUAGAUAUAGAAUACAAACAAAUACAUUAGAAAAUCACAGCCCUGUUAGCCAUAGUCAAUGCAACGCCCAAAGUGACGUCACAUUUAAAUUUCUGAAACGUGUUUCGAAAAUUAAGAAAGAAUUUAGAUGAAAUUCAAGAUUAGAUUUGUAUGACUUAUCUAACUUAUAUUAAUAACAGUGAAAAUUAUAAUACUAAUUAAUAUUUAAUUGUA